UACAGAGGGUGCGAGCGUUAAUCGGAAUUACUGGGCGUAAAGGGUGCGUAGGCGGGUGAGUAAGUUAGAUGUGAAAGCCCCGGGCUUAACCUGGGAAUGGCAUUUGAAACUGCUUGUCUAGAGUCGAGAAGAGGGGAGUGGAAUUUCCGGUGUAGCGGUGAAAUGCGUAGAUAUCGGAAGGAACACCAGUGGCGAAGGCGGCUCCCUGGACUCAGACUGACGCUGAGGCACGAAAGCGUGGGUAGCAAACAGG
rnacentral:rRNA from 1 species